UACGGAGGAUGCGAGCGUUAUCCGGAUUUAUUGGGUUUAAAGGGCGCGUAGGCGGGCUUUUAAGUCAGCGGUAAAAAUUCGGGGCUCAACCCCGUCCGGCCGUUGAAACUGGGGGCCUUGAGUGGGCGAGAAGAAGGCGGAAUGCGUGGUGUAGCGGUGAAAUGCAUAGAUAUCACGCAGAACCCCGAUUGCGAAGGCAGCCUUCCGGCGCCCUACUGACGCUGAGGCACGAAAGUGCGGGGAUCGAACAGG
rnacentral:rRNA from 1 species